GGAAUAUUGGACAAUGGGCGCAAGCCUGAUCCAGCCAUGCCGCGUGUGUGAUGAAGGCCUUAGGGUCGUAAAGCUCUUUCGCUGGGGAAGAUAAUGACGGUACCCAGUAAAGAAACCCCGGCUAACUCCGUGCCAGCAGCCGCGGUAAUACGGAGGGGGUUAGCGUUGUUCGGAAUUACUGGGCGUAAAGCGCGCGUAGGCGGAUUAGAAAGUAUGGGGUGAAAUCCCGGGGCUCAACCUCGGAACUGCCUCAUAAACUACUAGUCUAGAGUUCGAGAGAGGUGAGUGGAAUUCCGAGUGUAGAGGUGAAAUUCGUAGAUAUUCGGAGGAACACCAGUGGCGAAGGCGGCUCACUGGCUCGAUACUGACGCUGAGGUGCGAAAGUGUGGGGAGCA
rnacentral:rRNA from 1 species